rnacentral:tRNA from 1 species
GUGGUUCACUGGUAGAGCAUCUGCUUGGCAAGCAGAAGACCCUAAGUUCAAUUCAUAAGAACG